GACGAACGCUGGCGGCGUGCUUAACACAUGCAAGUCGAGCGGUGCGGCGAACGGGCGAGUAACGCGUGAGUAACUGCCCCCCUCCCUGGGAUAACAGUUGGCAACGGGUGCUAAUACCGGAUAGUGGGGGAUGACUCUCGUCCUAUCAGCUUGUUGGUGGGGUAGGGGCCUACCAAGGCGACGACGGGUAGCCGGCCUGGGAGGGCGACCGGCCACAAUGGGCUGAGAGACGGCCCAAACUCCUACGGGACGCAGCAGUGGGGAACAUUGCACAAUGGGGGAAACCCUGAUGCAGCAACGCCGCGGGCGGGAUGACGGCCUUCGGGUUGUAAACCGCUUUCAGCCAUGACGCGGUAGUGGCAGAAGAAGCACCGGCUAACUACGUGCCAGCCGCCGCGGUAAUUC
rnacentral:rRNA from 1 species